AACGAACGCUGGCGGCAGGCUUAACACAUGCAAGUCGAACGCCCCGCAAGGGGAUUGGCAGACUGGUGAGUAGCGCGUGGGAAUCUACCCAUCCCUACGGAAUAACGCAUGGAAACGUGUGCUAAUACCGUAUACGCCCUACGGGGGAAAGAUUUAUCGGGGAUGGAUGAGCCCGCGUGGGAUUGUCUGGUUGGUGGGGUAAAGGCCUACCAAGGCGACGAUCCCUAGCUGGUCUGAGAGGAUGAUCAGCCACAGUGGGACUGCGACACGGCCCAAACUCCUACGGGAGGGAGCAGUGGAGAAUAUUGGACAAUGAGGGCAAGCCUGAUCAAGCCACGCCGCGUGAGUGAUGAAGGCCUUAGGGUUGUAAAGCUCUUUGACCGGAGAAGAUAAUGACGGUAACCGGAGAAGAAGCCCCGGCUAACUUCGUG
rnacentral:rRNA from 1 species